GAGUUUGAUCGUGGCUCAGGACUAACGCUAGCGGCGUGUCUUAGCCAUGCAAGUCGUACGGAACUCUUUUUUGUAGUAAUACGAAAUUGAGUUUAGUGGCAAACGGGUGAGUAACGCGUGGGUAAUCUGCCUUCAGGAUGAGCAUAACAGGGGGAAACUCCUGCUAAUUCUCAAUGACAACUUUUUUGCAUAAGCAGAAGAGUUCAAAGCGGGGGACCAUUUUUGGCCUCGCGCCUGAAGAUGAGCCCGCGUCCCAUUAGCUUGUUGGUGAGGUAACGGCUCACCAAGGCUAAGAUGGGUAGCCGGCCUGAGAGGGUGACCGGCCACAUUGGAACUGAGACACGGUCCAGACUCCUACGGGAGGCAGCAGGCUAGAAAAUUGGACAAUAGGCGCAAGCCAGAUCCAGCGACGCCGCGUGAAGGAUGAAGGCUUUUUGUUGUAAACUUCUUUUAGAAGGGAAGAUGGGGUACAAUGUUAAUACCAUUGUAUCUUGACGCUACCUUCAGAAAAAGCUCCGGCUAACUCCGUGCCAGCCC
rnacentral:rRNA from 1 species